AGCCAACGAUCUGUAGCUGGUCUGAGAGCACGAUCAGCCACACUGGGACUGAGACACGGCCCAGACUCCUACGGGAGGCAGCAGUGGGGAAUUUUGGACAAUGGGCGAAAGCCUGAUCCAGCAAUGCCGCGUGCAGGAUGAAGGUCUUCGGCUUGUAAACUGCUUUUGUUCGGAACGAAAAGCUUCGGGUUAAUACCCUGGACUCAUGACGGUACCGUAAGAAUAAGCACCGGCUAACUACGUGACAGCAGCCGCGGUAAUACGUAGGGUGCAAGCGUUAAUCGGAAUUACUGGGCGUAAAGCGUGCGCAGGCGGUUUUGUAAGACAGAGGUGAAAUCCCCG
rnacentral:rRNA from 1 species